AUUGAACGCUGGCGGCAGGCCUAACACAUGCAAGUCGAGCGAGCGGCGGACGGGUGAGGAAUGUAUGGGGACUGCCCGAUAGAGGGGGAUAACGACUGGAACCGGUAGCUAAUACCGCAUACUAUCGGAUAACCCAUAAGGGAUUGGCUAGUUGGUGAGGUAAUGUCUCACAAAGGCGACGAUCCCUAGCUGGUCUGAGAGGAUGAUCAGCAACACUGGAACUGAGACACGGCCCAGACUCCUACGGAGGCAGCAGUGGGAAAUAUUGCACAAUGGGCGCAAGCCUGAUGCAGCCAGGCCGCGUGUAUGAAGAAGGCCCUAGGGUUGUAAAGUACUUUCAGUCGGGAGGCGUUACCGACAGAAGAAGCACCGGCUAACUCCGUGCCAGCCGCCGCGGUAAUUC
rnacentral:rRNA from 1 species